rnacentral:rRNA from 1 species
UGCAGAAGCCAUUCCCACCCCAGGCUAUGAUCUCGUCAGAUCUCAUAAGUGAAACAGGGCCAGGUCUUUCCAGGACUGCAGGAGACACCUCUGAGGGAACCCCAGGAAGUUCUUGGUG